GACGAACCGUGCGAACGUUAUUCGGAAUCACUGGGCUUAAAGCGCGUGUAGGCGGACGGGCACGUCGGUCGCUGAAAUCCCCCGGCUCAACCGGGGAACGGGCGCCGAAACGACCCGUCUCGAGGGACGUAGGGGGACCUGGAACUUCCGGUGGAGCGGUGAAAUGCGUUGAGAUCGGAAGGAACGCCCGUGGCGAAAGCGAGGUCCUGGACGUCUACUGACGCUGAGACGCGAAAGCUAGGGGAGCGAACGGG
rnacentral:rRNA from 1 species